rnacentral:lncRNA from 1 species
AGCCCUGAGCAAAAUGAACCUUCCCACACCUAAGUAUGCAUCACCAUCACCUGAAGGACUUGUAGAACCAUGAACUCCUGGGCCCCACCUCAGCAUGUCUGAUUUGGCACAUCUGGAGUGGCCCCAAGAAUCUGCAUUUCUAGCAGUGCUGGUGCUGCAGGUCCAAGGCCCUCACCCUGAGAUCCACUCAGUAAACAUUUAUGAGCAUCAACCUGAAACCAGAAAGAAGAUGAGGAACAAAAAGAGGCUGACUAGAAACAGAAGACUUUGUGACAUGUGAACAUGGCAUGAAAUUCAAAGUUCAGUGUCUGUAAAUAAGAUGUUAUUGGAAUACAGCUGGGCUCCUUCACUGAUGGUUUCCUGUAUCUAUGGAUGUGUUUUAAUAGCAGAGCUGAGUCAUUGUGACAUAGACAGAAAGGGAAUGUGGCUGGUAAAUCGUGAACUGUUUUCUAUCGGGUUCUUUACAGGAUG